UGGUCAUUGAACACCAAUGCACUUACAAGUAUUGACUACAAGUAUGACGCAGAGAUAUAUUGAACGUUAGAUCAAUCCUUUGUGUUUUGGCUUGCGGUAUUCGUAAACAUUUUAUACUAUUGGGUAAUUUCUACAAAAUUGUUCUCCUGAGACAAACGUGAUAAUAAAUAGCAGAAAAUAGUCAUUUGGUAUAGUUAAGACCAUAAUAAAACCAUUUAACAAAGAAAAAAUUUGAGAAUCACGUGAGAAUCUAUAAAAGAUUAUACAGUAUUUUAUCAGAAGAGUAAAAAUUAAUAUUAAGAAACAAUUGCAAUUAGAAGAUGAACUCAAAUAAUUUUUCAUCGCAUAAUAGAUUUCAAAAUAUUUAUAAUAAAAAGCGAUUCUCUCGUAAAAAUUAUAAGAAACCAAGGAAAGCGAUUGCUAGUAUAAUUUAUAAAGAAAACCAGAAUUAUAACACCACUUUACCUAGUUGUGCAAAUGAGAAUCAAAAUAUAUUAAUGAAUUCAACAAUCAGAUCUACAUUAAACAGAAGAAACUGUGAAAAAUGCCAAGAAGAUUUAAGUAUUUCUCCAAAAAAUACUUUAAAAUCUACAAGUAUCGUGAAUCAAGUUUUAAACAAGUGCGAUAGAAAUAGCUCUGUUUUCUUAUUGGAAAACUAUAGGAAUAACAAGAAAUUAGGUAUGACUAAGACACCAAAUAUAAUAGAACACGACCAUAAAGCAGUAUUAAAUCAUGAUUUACAAAAUAUAAGGUGCUUUUGCAAUGAAUCUAAUGCAAAUUAUAAUUUAUACAAUAAGAACGAAAUUCACUGUGAGCAAAAUGUGAAAUUUCAACAAAAAAGUUUACCUAUAAUAUCACAACAAAGAUCUCUAGAAGCAAAAACACGUAGGAAGAGAAAUCAAUCUAAUAUUACUAAUGAAACAGAUUGCAAUAUCUCGAUACAAACUAAAAGAGAAAAUAGCUGUGAUAUUAAUAAAUCUAUUACAACUGAAAAAUCAAGGAAAGGUGUUUAUACAAAAGGUAAAGGACAAAAAAUAAUAAAAUCGAUUUAUCAUUUACAAAUAAAGAAAAACAAACAAAAAAGGAUAUACAGAACAGUACAUAAAUAUAAACAAUGUAAUAAUGUCACCAAAAAUAAAUAUUAUAAAGUAAUAGGAAAAGGAAAGGAUACAAGUAAUUUUUCUACAGUUACCAUAAUACCAUCAAGCAAGAUUGACACCAAAAUAAACAAAGAUAUAGCGAGGCAUAAAAAUUGUAUAGAUAUUAAAAAUUUGAUAAUACCUUUGAUUAAAAUAGAUGAUCUUUCUACAUCUGAAUUAUCUAAAUUAAUUCAGAGUACCAAAUGUAUCGAAAAUAAAGAGAAUAUACAAAAAGAUGAGAAUAUAUGUAAUGAAACAAAGAAUAUUGCAGAAAUACAGUGUUCUGAACAAGAAGAAGAACAAGAACAAGAAAUAAAUAUAUUAUAUAAAUCAGUGUUUGAGCAAAGAUGUACAAAAUGUGAAGAAAAUGAAGUGAAUAAAAUUGAUGAAAAUAUAAGAAAUAUAACAUUUGAAAAAGAGACAUAUAAAAUAUCUCCAGAGAAUAUUUUACAAUUUUUUCUAAAAAACAAAAGAGAUAUAGAUAUAAGAACAAGAUUGAGAUCAAGUAUUGAAAAUAUUCAUGAAUAUCAUAUAAGAAAAAGUGUAGCAAUGUGCAGUAAAUGUACAGAAGUCUUUAAUCUUUUACGACAAUUUUCUGGUAAAGUAAACUUUGUACAAAAUGAAAAAGUAUGCAUUGAAUGUACGCUAUGUAAUUUAAAAAUUAACACUCUAUUUCAUUUUCAAAAACAUCUAAUGGAUGUACAUUUACAAUGUGAAAGAAAAUCAUUACAUAAACAAAAGAAAUUUGCAGUUGCUAUUAUUAAUUUCAGUGAUCAGUUAGAUUUAAAUAUCAAUAAACAAUUUAUAUUUGAAUGCUGUUGCUGCUCAAAAACAUUUGAUCAUACAACAAAUUUUGAGGAACAUAUUAAAAAUAUGCAUCACGGCUUCAAUCAUCAUCAAUCAGAUGAUGUUAAAAAAUAUGAGGCAGGACAAAUGGUUUUAACUUCUGAAUCAUAUACAACAUUUAAAAAUGAACAUGUAUUUAAUGAAACUCGUGCUUUAGGUAAGAAUUAUAUUUUUGAUGCUCUGACUAAUAUAGAUGAAAUUUCUAAUUCAGGAGAGGAAAUUAACAUACAAAAUAAUCAUAUAAACGAAUAUGAUAUUAACACAAAAAUAAUUCUUACAAAUAAUAUAUACCAUACAGAUUCAAAUGAUAAAAAUUUAUUGUCGGAGAUGGAAGUAAAAGAGAAACAGAUGAAUGAUAUAAAUAAUUCAGAUGUUACUCAGAUAAGAAAAGAAAACCAAAAAUUUAAGGAAGAUAUAGAAAAAUUAAAUGUUGAUGAAAAACAUUCAAAUAGUAUUUCAGAAUUAAAACUUUCUAAUGUAUCUAUUAAAAUUGAUCGAAGAUUUAAAGAAUAUUGGAAACAUAAAAGAAGCUUUUCUUUUAUUUGUAAUGUUUGUUUUAAAAAAUAUAGAAGAAAACAAGCGUUUUUAUCUCAUAUAUCUAAACAUAUAACAGAUUUUGAUACUAAUGUACAUGAGCAACAAAAAGCAGAAGAAAAUAAUGAUUUCAUCAGACAUGAAAAUGAUGUAGUAUUAAAUGCACAUACUGAAACUACUCAAGAAAAUAGUGAAAAUUUCAAGGAUAAUAAUGUAGUACAUUCUACUAUAAAUUUAGCAGAAUCAGACCAAAAUACUUUAAUAUCAAAAACAAUGGAUAAUGAAGUUGAUAGUGAUGAAAAUGGAAAUAUAGAAUAUGAUAUUAAAGAAGAUAGUGUAGCAAGUAAAACAGAUGAUUACAAUUUUGCAUUAUAUGUAAACCUUACACACACACAAAAAACAAGAAAUGGUGCAAAAAGGCAAAAAUUAAUGAAAUUCAACAUGAAUAUUGCAAAAAAAUGUAAAACAAAUACUAAUGAGCAGCAAAGUACAGAAAAUGAAAUUGAAAACGUGUUUCCAACAUAUUUUACUACAAAUACUAAUUCAAUAAUAGAUGCAAGUAAAGAAAAUGUAAAUUAUGAUUUAAAAGAACUGCAUUGCAUUAUAUGUGACAAAAAAUUUAGUUCUUUGACAAUACUUAAGGAACAUAUGUUCUAUUUACAUGAUUUGUUGUUUGAAGAUCCAAGUUCACCAAAUUUAUCAAUGAUACCAUAUGAAGUAAAAAAUCUGUCUACACAAGGUACUUGUGUAUCUAAAAUGAAACACAAUAUGACAUGUAAAAUAAAAGAAUCAAAAAAAAUUUUGCAAAAGGAAAAUAAACAAAAAUAUAGAAAGUGGCGUUGUAACGCAUGUAAAGAAAAUUUUGCAUUACUUAGAAACUACUUACGACAUAAGUACUACUGUCAUAAUGAUGAAUCUGUAGUUCAUGUUUGUGAUAAUUGUAACAAAAUCCUUACUUCAGUUGCAAUGGUGAACAUUCAUAUAUGCACUAAUGUUACUACCUGGAAUUGCAAGAGAUGUAGUCUUACUUUUUCUAACGGUAUAUCUUUAACACGACAUAAUAUGAAUUAUCACUUAGAAAAAGUAGGUCCACAUGUAUGCAAAAUAUGUAAAUUGAAUUUUCUUACAAUGUACAUGCUAACAAGACAUGAAACAACACAUUCUAUAAGUAACAAUUCCGAUAUUACAGAAACUUUCAUAGAUUUAUCUGUACCUGCGAAAGACUAUUUACCUUAUACUGUAGAUAAUAUAAAUGUUAAUUCUGAAUUCAGUAGAAAACAAUUGAAUGACGAGGCUAUUCCUUAUAGGAAUGAAAAUGUGGAAAUUAAAGAAUUAGAUGAACUAAAUGAAAAAUUUUCAAAAAUGCACAUUACAUCUGAUAUACCACACAAUGAUAAAAAUAUACUGCACUGUGAUACAUUAUGUGCUACAGCACCACAACUUCAUCUGGAAAAAAGAGAGAUAUGUCGAAUUUGUAAUAGCUUAUAUUUUACAGAUGAAUUAAUAAAACAUUUAAUAUCUGAUCACAUAGUCCCAAAUAAUAUGUGUUUUAGAGAAAACGAUGCUAAUAUUGAAAUAAUACAAGAAAAUAUAAAUUCUCAGAAUGAUAUAAUAGAAAUCCUUGGUAUACAACGUUUGUUGUCCCUUUACGAAUAUCAAAGAUUUGAUACUAUCGUAGAAAACAAAUGUUUCAGUUGUAUAACAUGUCCAAAAGAAUUCUCAAAUACUCAGCAGUACAAAGUUCAUUACUUAAAAUAUCAUGAUACAAUAUGUUUAUUGUGUAAUAUAAAAUUUGAACACAAUUUUCAAGCACUUGAACAUAAAAUUAAAAUUCACAAAUCUAUUGAUUUAUAUUUGUGGAUAGCACAAAAGCUAAUAUUACAGUUAAGGCAAUAUGGAAAUACCAUUGAAGAUGUGAUAUUAAAAUCUAGUGAAAUAAGAGUAUGAUAAAUAAUAUAUACUCGUAAUUUUAAGUUAUAUUCUAACUAGUCUAUACAGAUAACUGUAAUUUAUUAAGAAAAUGCAUAAGUUGACUCAUUAAGACUACUAAUUCAGGUAACCUAUCAAAUUUUAGUUACCUGCAAUUAAAUAUAAAAUUGUAUAUAUUAUAUAACUUUUUGUGGGUAUUUUUUAUAAAAAGUAAAUAUUAAUAAAUAUAUUGUUGUAAUCUUAAUAAGCUAAUAUUCUUUUAUUUGUACUUAUAGAAAGUACACUCAAGUAUUAUAGAAUGAUAAUUAAAAUUCUAUUAUAAAAUUAAAUUUAUUUUGUAACAUCAAAAUGUUUUAUAAUAUAAAAACUAGAUUACAAUAAAUAUAUUAUAGGGGAACCACUCUAAAGAAACACUCUUAUUGGAUAUAAAUAAAAUAUCAAGAAAGAAAUCAUGAUAUACAAUUCUUUUGCUGUAUUAUUUUGUUCAUAGUAUCUGGAUUUGUAUUUUUUUUUAUUGUUUGAAUCUUAUACAUAUAAUACAAUGAUACAGAUUAUUUCUAUUGUAAAUCAUUUGUACAGUUUUUGAAUAAAAAUCUUGUUUACCAAUAAAAAUAUAUAAAACUACAUGGAAAUUGAAAUUUCCAAAUUUAAAAGUAGUCGUAAUAUGUAUCGAUCAAUUUAAAUUAAAUACAGAUAUCUGUAAUUUAUUAAGAAAAUGUAUAAGUUGACUCAUUAAGACUAUUAAUUCAGGUAGCUUAUCAAAUUUUAGUUACCUGCAAUUAAAUAUAAAAUUUUAUAUAUUAUAUAAUUUUUUGUAUUUUUUAUAAAAAAAUAAAUAUUAAUAAAUAUAUUGUUGUAAUCUUAAUAACCUAAUAUUCUUUUAUUUGUACUUAUAGAAAGUACACUCAAGUAUUAUAGAAUGAUAAUUAAAAUUCUGUUAUAAAAUUAAAUUUAUUUUGUAACAUCAAAAUGUUUUAUAAUAUAAAAACUAAAUUACAAUAAAUAUAUUAUAAGGAAACCACUCCAAAGAAGCACUCUUAUUGGAUAUAAAUAAAAUAUCAAGAGAGAAAUCGUGAUAUACAAUUCUUUUGCUGUAUUAUUUUGUUCAUAGUAUCUGGAUUUGUAUUUUUUUUUAUUGUUUGAAUCUUAUACAUAUAAUACAAUGAUACAGAUUAUUUCUAUUGUAAAUCAUUUGUACAGUUUUUGAAUAAAAAUCUUGUUUACCAAUAAAAAUAUAUAAAACUACAUGGAAAUUGAAAUUUCCAAAUUUAAAAGUAGUCGUAAUAUGUAUCGAUCAAUUUAAAUUUAUCAAAUAAAUAUAUCUUAUAUCGGUUAACCGUAAUCAUAUUAGACAACUAUUUAUUCAUAUAUUGUUUCGUUAACUAAAUUAUUUAGUAUAUUUGAAAUUUCCUUUAGGAAUCAAAUAAUUCUAAAACUUGUAUCAAAAUUCGCGCUGAAUAUACUACAGCGCUUAGCUUACUUUAUCACUAGUCUUAUAUGUAUUUAUACAAUCGACUUUCAAAUCAGUUCAGUUACUAUCUCCUGUCGAUGUGGUUUUUACAAGUUUUGGGCAUUUCGAAAUUGUAUAUGAAAUAAAUCCAGUUGAAUAUUAACUUAUAAUAUAAGGGUAUUAAAAUAUCAAAAUUUAUAAAGAAAAGAUGAAUAUUUAUUCAAGCUAUUAUUCUGAUUAUAAAACAAAUUUGAGUACUAUGCUAUAGAAGUGGCAUUAAAAG